rnacentral:lncRNA from 1 species
UUUUUCUUUAGCAAUUUGGAUGCUGGUAUUGUUGUAAUUAGUCUAAGAUAUCGUUUUGUGGCUUUACAAAAUAUGGAACAUAGCUAAAUGCACAUGUUAUAAAUUGAGGAUCUGAGCCUUAGCCCUUAUUAGGUCAGUUUUUUGGUGGCAUCGCGUACAUCCCAACCACCUUGGGCUUUCUGACUAAAGACAAUGCUCAUCCUCUGU